CGAAGGGUGCAAACGUUGCUCGGAAUUAUUGGGCGUAAAGCGCACGUAGGCGGCUCUGUAAGUUGGAUGUGAAAUCCCUCGGCUCAACCAAGGAAGUGCAUUCAAAACUGCAAAGCUUGAGUACUUAAGAGGAUCGCGGAAUUCCCGGUGUAGAGGUGAAAUUCGUAGAUAUCGGGAGGAACACCAGUGGCGAAGGCGGCGAUCUGGGAAGAUACUGACGCUGAGGUGCGAAAGCGUGGGGGAGCAAACAGGAUUAGAUACCCUGGUAGUCCACGCCGUAAACGAUGAGUGCUAGGUGCUGUGGGUAUUGACCCCCCGCGGUGCCGCAGCCAACGCGUUAAGCACUCCGCCUGGGGAGUACGGCCGCAAGGCUA
rnacentral:rRNA from 1 species